rnacentral:rRNA from 1 species
UACGUAGGGUCCGAGCGUUGUCCGGAAUUACUGGGCGUAAAGAGCUCGUAGGUGGUUUGUCGCGUUGUUCGUGAAAACUCACAGCUUAACUGGUGGCUUGCUUUCGAUACGGGCAGACUGGAGGUAUGCAGGGGAGAACGGAAUUCCUGGUGUAGCGGUGAAAUACGUAGAUAUCAGGAGGAAUACCGGUGGCGAAGGCGGCUGCCUGGCCCAAUACUGACGUUGAGAUGCGAAAGCGUGGGGAGCAAACAGG